rnacentral:tRNA from 1 species
ACCUUGAUUAGUCUGAUCACAAAGUGAGUUUUUCAGACAUGCGAGACUCAAAAUCUCGUGCUGAAGAGCAUGGAGGUUCGAGUCCUCUUCAAGGCA